UUUGGUUAAGUUAGAAAGGGCGCACGGUGGAUGCCUUGACACUAGGAGUCGAUGAAGGACGGGACUAACGCCGAUAUGCUUCGGGGAGCUGUAAGUAAGCUUUGAUCCGAAGAUUUCCGAAUGGGGAAACCCACCAUACGUAAUGGUAUGGUAUCCUUAUCUGAAUACAUAGGGUAAGGAAGACAGACCCAGGGAACUGAAACAUCUAAGUACCUGGAGGAAGAGAAAGCAAAUGCGAUUUCCUGAGUAGCGGCGAGCGAAACGGAACAUAGCCCAAACCAAGAGGCUUGCCUCUUGGGGUUGUAGGACAUUCUAUACGGAGUUACAAAGGAACGAGGUAGACGAAGCGACCUGGAAAGGUCCGUCGUAGAGGGUAACAACCCCGUAGUCGAAACUUCGUUCUCUCUUGAAUGUAUCCUGAGUACGGCGGAACACGUGAAAUUCCGUCGGAAUCUGGGAGGACCAUCUCCCAAGGCUAAAUACUCCCUAGUGAUCGAUAGUGAACCAGUACCGUGAGGGAAAGGUGAAAAGCACCCCGGAAGGGGAGUGAAAGAGAUCCUGAAACCGUGUGCCUACAAAUAGUCAGAGCCCGUUAAUGGGUGAUGGCGUGCCUUUUGUAGAAUGAACCGGCGAGUUACGAUCCCGUGCGAGGUUAAGCUGAAGAGGCGGAGCCGCAGCGAAAGCGAGUCUGAAUAGGGCGUUUAGUACGUGGUCGUAGACCCGAAACCAGGUGAUCUACCCAUGUCCAGGGUGAAGUUCAGGUAACACUGAAUGGAGGCCCGAACCCACGCACGUUGAAAAGUGCGGGGAUGAGGUGUGGGUAGCGGAGAAAUUCCAAUCGAACCUGGAGAUAGCUGGUUCUCCCCGAAAUAGCUUUAGGGCUAGCCUUAAGUGUAAGAGUCUUGGAGGUAGAGCACUGAUUGGACUAGGGGUCCUCAUCGGAUUACCGAAUUCAGUCAAACUCCGAAUGCCAAUGACUUAUCCUUAGGAGUCAGACUGCGAGUGAUAAGAUCCGUAGUCAAAAGGGAAACAGCCCAGACCGCCAGCUAAGGUCCCAAAGUGUGUAUUAAGUGGAAAAGGAUGUGGAGUUGCUUAGACAACUAGGAUGUUGGCUUAGAAGCAGCCACCAUUUAAAGAGUGCGUAAUAGCUCACUAGUCGAGUGACUCUGCGCCGAAAAUGUACCGGGGCUAAAUACACCACCGAAGCUGCGGAUUGAUACCAAUGGUAUCAGUGGUAGGGGAGCGUUCUAAGGACAGUGAAGUCAGACCGUAAGGACUGGUGGAGUGCUUAGAAGUGAGAAUGCCGGUAUGAGUAGCGAAAGACGGGUGAGAAUCCCGUCCACCGAAUGCCUAAGGUUUCCUGAGGAAGGCUCGUCCGCUCAGGGUUAGUCAGGACCUAAGCCGAGGCCGACAGGCGUAGGCGAUGGACAACAGGUUGAUAUUCCUGUACCACCUCUUUAUCGUUUGAGCAAUGGAGGGACGCAGAAGGAUAGAAGAAGCGUGCGAUUGGUUGUGCACGUCCAAGCAGUUAGGCUGAUAAGUAGGCAAAUCCGCUUAUCGUGAAGGCUGAGCUGUGAUGGGGAAGCUCCUUAUGGAGCGAAGUCUUUGAUUCCCCGCUGCCAAGAAAAGCUUCUAGCGAGAUAAAAGGUGCCUGUACCGCAAACCGACACAGGUAGGCGAGGAGAGAAUCCUAAGGUGUGCGAGAGAACUCUGGUUAAGGAACUCGGCAAAAUGACCCCGUAACUUCGGGAGAAGGGGUGCUUUCUUAACGGAAAGCCGCAGUGAAUAGGCCCAAGCGACUGUUUAGCAAAAACACAGCUCUCUGCGAAGCCGUAAGGCGAAGUAUAGGGGGUGACACCUGCCCGGUGCUGGAAGGUUAAGGAGAGGGGUUAGCGUAAGCGAAGCUCUGAACUGAAGCCCCAGUAAACGGCGGCCGUAACUAUAACGGUCCUAAGGUAGCGAAAUUCCUUGUCGGGUAAGUUCCGACCCGCACGAAAGGUGUAACGAUUUGGGCACUGUCUCAACCAGAGACUCGGUGAAAUUAUAGUACCUGUGAAGAUGCAGGUUACCCGCGACAGGACGGAAAGACCCCGUGGAGCUUUACUGUAGCCUGAUAUUGAAUUUUGGUACAGUUUGUACAGGAUAGGCGGGAGCCUUUGAAACCGGAGCGCUAGCUUCGGUGGAGGCGCUGGUGGGAUACCGCCCUGACUGUAUUGAAAUUCUAACCUACGGGUCUUAUCGACCCGGGAGACAGUGUCAGGUGGGCAGUUUGACUGGGGCGGUCGCCUCCUAAAGUGUAACGGAGGCGCCCAAAGGUUCCCUCAGAAUGGUUGGAAAUCAUUCGUAGAGUGCAAAGGCAUAAGGGAGCUUGACUGCGAGACCUACAAGUCGAGCAGGGACGAAAGUCGGGCUUAGUGAUCCGGUGGUUCCGCAUGGAAGGGCCAUCGCUCAACGGAUAAAAGCUACCCCGGGGAUAACAGGCUUAUCUCCCCCAAGAGUCCACAUCGACGGGGAGGUUUGGCACCUCGAUGUCGGCUCAUCGCAUCCUGGGGCUGUAGUCGGUCCCAAGGGUUGGGCUGUUCGCCCAUUAAAGCGGUACGCGAGCUGGGUUCAGAACGUCGUGAGACAGUUCGGUCCCUAUCCGUCGUGGGCGUAGGAAAUUUGAGAGGAGCUGUCCUUAGUACGAGAGGACCGGGAUGGACGCACCGCUGGUGUACCAGUUGUUCUGCCAAGGGCAUAGCUGGGUAGCUAUGUGCGGAAGGGAUAAGUGCUGAAAGCAUCUAAGCAUGAAGCCCCCCUCAAGAUGAGAUUUCCCAUAGCGUAAGCUAGUAAGAUCCCUGAAAGAUGAUCAGGUUGAUAGGUUCGAGGUGGAAGCAUGGUGACAUGUGGAGCUGACGAAUACUAAUAGAUCGAGGACUUAGCCAU
rnacentral:rRNA from 1 species